AAAUUAACUCAUUUGAUUAAUUGUUUUUCUUUCUUUAUCAAUUCAACAACUAUCAUCAUUAAUCAUAUCUUAUUGUGUCUCUCUUAUGAGUUGAUUGUUGAGAUUUUUUUCCAAUUGUGUCACCUUGAUAUUGUUUUUCUUUUCCAGUUCUAAUAAUAAUCUACAGGUUGUUUUCGUCUUCUCUUUUCGUUGGUUGGUAAUAAAUACUCGUUGGUGUGGUGGUGAUGCUUCAAUUUUUACUUUUCCCUCUACUCAUCAUUUCUAACCCAAGGGGAAGACCUAAUUUUGGAGUAGCUUGGAUUACGUUGGUAACCAUUUACACAAACACAUAGAAGUCAGAGUGAGCAACCAAAGAUGAUUCCUUCUCGAUUGGUUUAUACUCUAUGCUGCCAAGUUAAGAGCAAAGCUAAACGGGAACACGCAUCGGGAUUGUUAACAUUUUACACUCAAGAAUCUCAUCACCAUUCAGGAUUUUUCGCCAUCUUUUUCAUCAUCAUCAUCAUCAUCUAAAUCUAAAUCUUCAAUAUUCAUCUCAUUCUCAUAAUCUACAUCUCUUUCUUUUUCUUUCUUUCAUCUCUUUUCAUCAUCAUCUUCCUCUUUCUCUUUUGUAUUUCUAUUGAAUGAAUGUAAACAAAAUUGAGAUAAAAAUUCAACUCAUUGUAAGGUUGAUUGUCGACAAUUUCAUUAAUCAACUUGGUUUACUCUUAAUUUACUGAUUUACUUCAUCUUCCCUUAAACUUUUUCCUAAUCAACUUGGUGAUCUUGUUUUCGCUUUCGUUAUCUAAUUAACCACCACACUCUCAUUUAGACACCGGCUCCUUCAUCUCAGAGACUUAAUUGAAGUUGAUGUUGUCACUGAUUAUCAAUGAGGUAACAAUUAACUAGACAACAACAGAUAGAUAAUGAUAAUCAACUGAAUUGACUUUGAUUUAGAUGAAUUGAUGAUAAAAUGUUGAUACAACAUUCGCUGGUCAAUUGUAUUGUCUUAAUUGUAAAGGUUUAAAUCAUUUCAAUCGGUGAUAAUUAAGGUUAAGCUGCACUAGAUUGAUCAAUAUCAAGUUUAAAUAUUUAAUCCAUCAUGAUAGAUACAGUCAACAAUUAACACUAAUCAACAAUCUAACCCACCUUAGUGUUGAAUUUUGAGAUGAAUGAAAAAAAGAUUAAGGUAAAAAAAAACAAUGUCAAUGUGUCAAUCAAAUUGUUAUGGUCAAGGACAAUCAACUGGUCAAAGUUGAAAUGAUCAAAAGUGAUCCUUAAUUACUGACAUAAUCGUGUUAAAUUGCAUACAAUUAAGGAGAUGUUGGGAUAAAUUGAGAAGCUAAAAUAUCACUAACUGAUUUUGAAUGUUAAUCAUUGACAGAUUAACUAUUAACCUUUAUUUUCCUGACCAAUAACUUUAAUCAAUUACAACAAUUAGUGAAAGACAGACACAAGAAAAAGGCAACAAUUAACUUAAUCACUUGAAAUGAAAUACAAAAAGAAAACAAAAUUAAUGAUGAUCAAGAAAAACCAAUUUCUCAGCUCAAAAGUAAUCAAUCAAAUGAUGAUUAAGAAAAAUGAACAAUCAACAAUAAUUAUAAUCACUUUGAAAGAAAACAAUUGUAAAUUGUUAAGUUAAUAAGGGAAAUAGAUUCCUGUCACUCUCUUAAUUGUUACAAUCAAAUUAGUCA